rnacentral:rRNA from 1 species
UACGAAGGGGGCUAGCGUUGCUCGGAAUCACUGGGCGUAAAGGGUGCGUAGGCGGGUCUUUAAGUCAGGGGUGAAAUCCUGGAGCUCAACUCCAGAACUGCCUUUGAUACUGAGGACCUUGAGUCCGGGAGAGGUGAGUGGAACUGCGAGUGUAGAGGUGAAAUUCGUAGAUAUUCGCAAGAACACCAGUGGCGAAGGCGGCUCACUGGCCCGGUACUGACGCUGAGGCACGAAAGCGUGGGGAGCAAACAGG